UCCCCUAACUGGGGAUGGAAUCCAGGGUCUCUUGACUGAUAGGCAAGGGUUCCUCCACUGGGCCAGUCCCCAGUGUGGGUCUAUCAUCUUUGGCCAGCUUUCCUCUUGACAUAGCCAGAUACUCCUCCAUGCCCUAGAAUUAUGUAGGAAAAUUCUGAGUCUUAAUGUUGUCUGUAAUGUUUUGUUUUGUUUUGUUUUGAGACAGUGUCUUUCUACAUAGCGUUGGUUGUUCUAAAACUCACUAGUUAGACCAGGUUGGCUUCAAACUCAUAGAAAUCUGCCUGCUUCUGCCUCCUGAAUGCUGGGACCAAAAGCCUGUGCCACAUGCUUGGCUCUGUAUGUAGUAGUUUUUACUUUGAUUUUUGUUUUCCCCAUUGAGUUUUAUUUGACUUCAUCUUCUAGGAACAGGGCCUUCAAUACAAGAGAGCAGAGCAGCUUGAUCUGAAUAAUGAAGGUUUCCUUUUUCUAGUGGCUUGCUGCUGUGGGAAAGAGGGUGAACCAGUGGGCUGAACCUGUCCAGGAUGACAGUAUAGAUCUAUAGAAGGAUGAAGCAUCUCCAUGACCACCAGGUCACACAAGGCAGACUGCGGUCCCCAAGUCUGGGCACUGUGGAGGACAUGGAUGAAGUUAAGUUCAGAGCCAAGCACGUGCCCAGCAGCCCGGCAGACCUGAGAGGAUGAGAAUGGAGUAAGGAAGGACAGGAUGGAUCCAGUACAGAGUUCACGGUGUCCAGGCACCGCUGCGUGGAACAGCUGGGGUCUUCGGGAUCCUGGUCAGGCUGGGACUGAGUGUUGAUGGGAGAAGACCUUCUCUGAGGAUUUUAGCGUUACAGCUCUUUUAGAUGAUACUCAGCUCUCUUAGACAAUCUUCAGGAAAGACGCUGGUGCGCAUUCCACUUUGUUCAGGGUAGACGAAGGCUAUACAUGAACCUUGGGGAGCGGGAAGGAAUUUUCAGAGUGAGUGUAACAUCACUGGCUGGAAUUUAAUGCCCUGUAACUGACGGCCUCAUUUGUAGGGAGGAGCAUCCCAGGAAUCCCAGGUACUUGCUGGCCGGAGAGAGGAAGUUGAACUUAUAGGAACGGCUACUGGACCUUCUUCAGGUAGAAGAUUGCAGUCGAAUACCCUAGAGAAGGACAAGUACUGCUGGGAAAAGGUAGUCCUCCAUUUAGAACUGAGUUCAGAGGCACUCUCCGGACAUAGUAGACUUUGACCUUAAGUAGCAGGGUUUCCCAACACAGUAGAGCCGCUCUGGAGGCCUGGUUUCUGGUGAGCUGGCCAGAGGGCUUGAAAGCAGGAAUGUUGAGCUAUUGGUGGCAGCACUGGGUGGCUUAGCUGGAGCAGUGCGGAGAGCUCCCCCUGGUGGUACAGAUAAGGGAGAGCCAGAGGACCGACCAGCUCAGCUAUCACCUAGGCCCAGACUCAGGGCUUUGAGUUGGCCUACCUCAAAAUCUCUAUCCUCUGAGAAAUGUUGGGGCAUUGAAAGAACCAGUCCUGCUGGUCCAAAGCUGUAGGGUCUCCAUGAUACACGGCAACAACAGGAUAGCCGGGAGAAGUCCCGGUGAGGAUCCACUAUUGAUGGUGUCACAAAAGCCAGAGACCUCAAACCAGAGUGCAAUGAACAUUUGCAGUGAAGAUGUG
rnacentral:sRNA from 1 species